rnacentral:snRNA from 1 species
CGAUGUGAGGGCCAUCUGCCUGUGACACCCGUCACCACACUGAGCUCCAGGCUUGAGUCAGCCCAUGUGCCUGCCCAAGCCCAGGUCCCCUUCCUCACCCAGCGCUCCAUGUGCAUCCCUCCCAAAGCUGCUGGGGCACAGAGGACAACCUCCCCAACACAGACAGUGCAUUUUAUCAAUUAGGGAAAUCCCCCAUACAGAGAAUACAGUUUAUUAACCAAGGCUAUUAUUUGUUAGCUAUGCUCAAUUCUACAACCUACAAAAGUGCUCACGGUCCAUUUUUUUGAGAACAUAGGGCAAUCCAACUGCUAAGACUCCAGACACAUCCAAUUGUGGUUUUGCAUUGGGAAAUUUUUCCUUAUAUU